rnacentral:tRNA from 1 species
GCGAGAGUGGCGGAACUGGCAGACGCGCAGGAUUUAGGAUCCUGUGGGGCAACCCGUCCCGGUUCGAAUCCGGGCUCUCGCACCA